GUCCCAUCCGCGCGCCGCGCCCGCACCCAACGCAACCCAAUCCCCUCGUCCCGCACGCCGUGCACACUCCGGUCCCCUCAUCCCGCACGAACCCUAGGAGAGAGAGAUAGGAAGAUGCAAGGGAGAGAAAGGGGAGAGGAGAGGGAGGUCCGACAGCGGACGGGAGAGGGUGACCGGCCGGCGUCGGCCUGCGCCCCUCCUGGCGCACGAACCCUAGCCGAGAGACAAAAUGAGGGGGAGAGAGAGAAGGAAGGAGAGGAGGGAGAAAUAGAGAGGAAAGAGGAAAGGGAGGUGCGGCGGCUGACAGGAGAGAGGGUCAUCGGCCGGCGCCGGAGAGGACGGGCCCAACCUGGACGUGACUUGGAGGUUGGCGGCUGCUCGAUCCACUCCUGGAUCGGGAGCUGCGACGAGGCUGGGGCUCGGGCACGUUGUACGGGGUGGUCUCGCCGGCGAUGACAGGGCUGAUCGGCCGGAGUUGGAUCGAGAUCCCGGCUGGCACGGCUCAGCUCCAACUCCCUCUUCCACCUCUCCGCUCCCCGACACUCAAAUCUGGCUCUUCUGCACACAUCAGUAGCUAUGGAAAGAAAGCUUGUAGUGGAGUGGGUUCCUUUGUAUGAUCUUGGAAGAUGAUGACCUCUGAAGCCCAUUAGAAAGCAUGGCAAUGGCUUAAGGUUAGCGCAUUUCGAGAAGCCAACAGAUCGCCGCCUACUUCCUUAGGCUGACAAUCACCUGCGGGAUAAAGUGCGAUGUUUUGCCUGAGGUGAGAACAAAGACAGGAUCAAGGACUAGGCAACGUGGUCGUCGCGCAUGAACCAGUGUAGCCCAUUGGCACUGGUAAAGUUGUAUCGGCGGCUCAGGCACAUGAAGACCAGGUUGCUCAUCAGUUGGAUGUGGAGUUGCGUCUGAGCUAGGACUCUCCCAUGAUCACUACAUAGAAAAAGAUACAUCCAGUUUGGUUUCUAAUGUCUGUUUUUGCCUAAGCAAAAAAGGUAACAAGCUUAUAUUGUCGUAUGGUUCUCAGUUUGUCUUUUCAAACCAUUAGAUUGCCCGGAACAUCUAGGAACGACCUUUUUGUGUCCCCAAUAUUAUCCUAUUUUGUGAAUAAUCUUAUAUUGUUGAUGCUGCAUACAAUCAAAGUAUGUUCUUAUAAUCAUACUUAUGGCUAGCCAAAUUUUAUGGGUCCAACCUUAUACUCAUUAGAUACAACCUUUGUAUCUGCUUUUGCAAGUUGUCGCUUGCCAGGUGCGACCUGGUGAGUGGUGGCGGCUUGAUCCACUCUUGGAUCCUUCUUACACUUCCCUGCCGGCUAGGUCAGCUACGACCUGGUGGGUGGUGGCGGCUCGAUCCACUCUUGGAUCCUUCUUACACUUCCCUGCCGGCUAGGUCAGCUAUGACCUGGUGGUUGGUGGCGGCUUGAUCCACUCCUGGAUCCUUCUCCCACUUCCCCGUUGCCUAACACCGAGCACCCGGAUGGGAGCAUGGGAUCGACGGUGGCCGGAAACAUGAUUUAAAAUGGGACUUUAUACCACCAAAUAAGAAUGUGUGUACAUAUAUUUCAUUGUACGCAACAACACACCGUUUUUUGGGUAAUACUCUACCCAGGCUUAAUUCGUCCUAGCAAAAGAAAUCACAUCAUGAGCAAAAGAACGAAUUCGCUACUAACGUUUCAAAUCAAGAUUUAUCCAUCUAACAGUCCCAAAAUAUAUUUCCGUUCUCAUUAUUGCAACAACGUUUUUUGUACCAACAAUGUGACACUGCACUACAAUAUAUUUUCACAGGCCAUGGAAAAAUAAAGAAUUUGACAAUAGAUAGCCUCCAGUCUAAAAUUAUAAUUUUGCGCGCACUUUGGAGCUAUUGGAUGCCUGAAAAUAUCGGUCCUCAUGUAAUCUAACCGUUACACCUCUUGAGUCCAAUUAGGAACUCUUUCAUUAUUGGUUAUAAAGUGUUUGCUUUGGUCAGUUAAUAAUCCCUCUGUUCAUAAAUACAAGACAUUUUAGAGACAAGAUGCAUAUUUAAUGAAGCAUCCACUUGCUGUAGAAAGCAUGUUUUAUGGUUCUGUACCAGGUAAGGUGUUUAGUAACCUAUUUAACAAUGCUUUCCAGCUUCUUUCCAUGUUCUAACAUACUUCAUGUGUUGUGUAAUAAUCUACUGAUGGCCAGUUACAACUCCAUUUCACUAUGGACACUGCAUAUGAUGUUCUUUAUUCUCAGCAAAGCAAACAUCUUAUUUGUUUCUCAUACUAUUCUCUACAAAAAACUAGGCGUUGCUGAAGCUGGAGUCAUGAUGGCGUUAGUAAUCUUGGUGAUGCUUCUUAUACGGCAAACCAACUUGUUUUUGAUUAUCCUAUGGGUUAUUUAUCCAAAUGUUGCAUAUAGUAGUAUUGUUGAGCUAAUAAUAUUUGAAUCUGAGGUAGCAUACUAUUUCAAUUUGAGUUCAAAAAUUAUAAAUCUUAGUAUUUGUUUUCAGUUAUCAAUCUUCUUCCCUUCUCCUUUUUUGGGUCACUUUUGAUAGCUUCUUUCAUUCUGUACAUUUUAGUUGCUGCCUCAAGCCUUGGCUCUUUUUCUAGACUAGGCCUCAAUUUAUGGGAAAAUGCAGUCUUCAUUUACUGAGUUAUAUUUUUGUCUUGGUUUCUUCCAGGUCCCUCGUACAGUGGUUCAGAAAAAACCCUAUCCAAUGGAGAUGAUGCAUGAGGAGCGGCAAAGUCAUGAUCCAUAAAGCCCUAUGUUAUUCUUUUUCUCACUAUGAUUUUACUUUUUAUGGUUGGAUGCCAAGUAGCCAAGCAGACGCUUUUUCAUAGAUUAGUUUCUUAGUUUCAUAACUUGAACUGCGUUGUCGAGUGCAGUGUGUAGGCUCUUUCUCGAUUGCUCAGCAGGCGAUCAACGCGGCACAUGUGGAGGCUGUGAGAGCUGUGAAUGGCACGGGUCUUGUCGUACUUAUGAGCAGGAGCACGGGCCACAUUACUCUUCAUGCCACUCUGAGCAGCUGAGAUGUUGACUGCUGGUUGAGAUUGAUUUCCACGUUGAAUGGAAUGGAGACCUAUUUGAGUUCCUGUAUGGGAGGGUAAAGAAGAAGGGGCAUGUUGUUGUGGUUGUUGUUGAAGGCGUUGGUCAGGAGUUGAUUACCUGGACUGAUGACCAGAACCGAGAGCGGGAUGAGUAUGUCAACAUGUUGUUCUUUGACAUUGGCCUUAAGUUUACAUGCAACUCUCCUCCAUGGUUACUCAUUUCUGUUACCGUUGUUGUAUCAAAACAAUUGUAUUUUUGUUGAUGGCCGCUUGGGCUCUUUUUCGAGGAGAAAGACGUGGGAUAAACUA